rnacentral:pre_miRNA from 1 species
AUAGUACUCCCUCCGUCCAGAAAUACUUGUCGGAGAAAUGCAUAAAAAUAGAUGUAUCUAGAAUUAAAAUACGUCUACAUACAUCCAUUCCUCCGACAAGUAUUUUCGGACGGAGGGAGUAGAAU